rnacentral:rRNA from 1 species
GAUGAACGCUGGCGGCGUGCCUAAUACAUGCAAGUCGAGCGAAUGGAUUAAGAGCUUGCUCUUAUGAAGUUAGCGGCGGACGGGUGAGUAACACGUGGGUAACCUGCCCAUAAGACUGGGAUAACUCCGGGAAACCGGGGCUAAUACCGGAUAACAUUUUGAACCGCAUGGUUCGAAAUUGAAAGGCGGCUUGGGCUGUCACUUAUGGAUGGACCCGGGUCGCAUUAGCUAGGUGGUGAGGUAACGGCCCACCAAGGCAACGAUGCGUAGCCGACCUGGGAGGGUGAUCGGCCACACUGGGACUGAGACACGGCCCAGACUCCUAAGGGAGGCAGCAGUAGGGAAUCUUCCGCAAUGGACGAAAGUCUGACGGAGCAACGCCGCGUGAGUGAUGAAGGCUUUCGGGUCGUAAAACUCUGUUGUUAGGGAAGAACAAGUGCUAGUUGAAUAAGCUGGCACCUUGACGGUACCUAACCAGAAAGCCACGGCUAACUACGUGCCAGCCGCCGCGGUAA